CACACACAUAUCCAGCCUCCUCAGGACCGCAGAGACCCCCCCCUCCAGUCUCUCAUCUGCGCCUCAGACGCAGUCAGGAGCUUCACAGAGUCGCUGGGCUCUGGAAAAGCCUGCAGGUCAUCGGGUCAUGUCGCUCCAACGACACCCGUCCGUCCAGAGGGAGGAAACUUCUCCCCCAGCAAAGAGGAAGAGGGGCGACGCGUCACAAAUGGGAUAAAGCUCCGGUGUUUGUUGUAACUGGAGGUUUAGUAGCUCGAUUGAGUUUGGGACGCCGAAGGGCAACGAGAGUCCCAACAGGACAGGCUGUGGUUCCAUCCAGAGGGAGUCGGGGGACGGCUGGGGGGGCCAGACGAGCCAGAGGAAGGAUCCACAGCCAAGGAUGAUCAUUCUUGAGGAUUAUGCAGAUCCUUUUGAUGCUCAGGGGACCAGAGGUCGGCGGGAGGCGGGGCAAGCCGCGAGACGGACACGAAGCCUUAUGACGCACAGCAGAUGACAGCUGGACCGGCUGAAGGUGUCUGUGCAGACAGAGGCCAGCGAAGGAGCCGUGGGAGGAGGUCAGAUCUGCGAGGCUCCUCACGAAAGCGAGAGGAUGGCGCUCACCAGGCCUGAGGUGGAUCCACGUCCUGCUUCGGAGUGCGAGCUGACCUGAGUGGAGGAAGGAGCACGUUGGAAAUCCUGUAUUGUUGACCUCAGCUGCUGGUGAAGUCUGGCUGCGGGUCGCUGGUGUUUCCCCAUCUCAGCUGGAGCUGAUGAAAUCCUCACAUCUAUAUUUCACGAGAUGCACCGACCAAUAAGAUCCUGCCUGAAACAUCAAAGGAGUGUCGUUCUCUCAAACAUCUGCUUCAAAGUCGCUUCUCUCCAUCAUCCAAUGUUUUUCUCUUUUUUCCCCGCAGCACAAUUUGAGAGCUGGACCUAAGAUGAAACGUCUUUGGCACUCACCAUGCCGCCGCCGCCACCGCCGCCGCCGCCGCCGCCGCCGCUGCAUCAGCACCGGCAUCCUCUCCUCACAUCCUUCAUCCACCUUUCACCUCUGCUGCGUGGACCCCUCCCUCCCCCUGGAGAAAAAGAGCUGGUACCACGGUUACCUGACUCGCCAGGAGGCGGAGUUUCUGCUGCAGUCCUGCAAAGAGGCCAGCUUCCUGGUCAGGAGCAGCAGCGCGUUCUCCAUCGCCCUCCAGUGAGUGGGAAGUGCAGCUGCUGUGGGUCAGACUUUUCCCAUUUUGACAUGAACUUCAGUGCAUUUAGUUGGACUUCUGUGUCUUUAAAAAGACAAAAAGGAGAAGCCGCUCCGUCUACUGUUGAAAUGGGAAGGUUUGAAAUGGAUCCCAUCCACCACCGCCACACGGGUUUGCUGUUUUGAAGGUGUACCAGCACACCUGUAGGUCACGCUGUUGCACCAGGCAUCAGGUUCUCGUUGCAGAUGAUGGUCACUGUCAGGGUUCUGACUCUUUAGCUCUUUCACUGAACAAAAAGCAGCAUUUCUGUGAGAGAACCAGAGCAAAAUGCAGCAAAAUGGAGAUGAAAGAACUGCUUUGAGUGUUUCCUAAAUUCUGUUGCUCUGCUUUGGACUUUAUACUUGAAUCAAAUGUUCUUCCUUGGUGGGGCUUCAGCUGGUUUAUUCUGUCUGUUCCACUUUUAAUGCCUGAUUAGUCAUUUAUCUCCAUUUAAAGACUGAAAGUUUGUUUUAAAGGCUUUUGAUCCCGUCAGUUGGCUGGAGAGUGAAGUGUGUUAAAUCUGCCGGCUUGUGUCCUCCUGUGUGUCUCAGGGUUGUGUUCACAUCAUUGUUCCGCAGACAAAGGAGAACGGCUACACCCUGGACCGGAGCAGCUGCCUGUUCCCCAGCAGCAUCCCAGAGGUGGUGUACCAUUACUGCCCCAAGCAUUUGCCCAACACUGGGGCAGAACAGAUGAUCCUGCUGCACCGCUCUCACUUAGGGCGCUGCAGAUGACGCCGGGUUGUGUUUCAGCAGAUCAGUGUGUGUCACAUGGGCUUUUUGCAUUUUUUCCUUGGAUGUUUAGCUGAUGCAAAACGCCGGUGCUGCUGUUUUGCAUGGGAGCACGAGCUCCUUUUUAUCUGUGAUGUAAACGUGAACCUGAGCGGGGGGUCGACCCACAGACGGUCUGCUGGAGUCGUCCACUGAGAAGGAACUGAAAGGUGCUGCUGCUUUUUAUUCUGACAAGAUUCUCAAGAAGGAAAAGAAUGAAAAAUAACGCUCUCUGUCGCCCUCUGGCGGGCAUUCUGGUGCACUGCACCACAGAGCUCUUCAGUCUGGCACCAGUCAAGUGUUUUUGCACAAGAGCACUUCAGACAAUGCGAGCAGCUUCGUGCUCUUUUUCCACUGAACCCACCCCCACUCAGGGAUCUGUGCUGGGAAUGGGGGGGGGGGGGGGUUGUUUGUCGGCUGUGAUUCAGCUCCAUGUUAUGUGUUUGAUGGCUCCACAGUGAGAGGACUGUUUAACAGCACACAUAAAUGGAAACGUCUGCCAAACAACUCAGUCAAAUCUGGACUUUGUUUCCCAAAUAUUUCUGUAAGUUUUUGUUUUCAGAAUAAACAUGGAGUCUUUUUUAGAAA